rnacentral:rRNA from 1 species
UACGUAGGGUGCAAGCGUUGUCCGGAAUUAUUGGGCGUAAAGGGCUCGUAGGCGGUCUGUCGCGUCUGCUGUGAAAACUCGGGGCUUAACCCCGGGCCUGCAGUGGGUACGGGCAGACUGGAGUACUGCAGGGGAGACUGGAAUUCCUGGUGUAGCGGUGGAAUGCGCAGAUAUCAGGAGGAACACCGGUGGCGAAGGCGGGUCUCUGGGCAGUAACUGACGCUGAGGAGCGAAAGCGUGGGGAGCGAACAGG